AUUGAACGCUGGCGGCAUGCUUUACACAUGCAAGUCGAACGGCAGCACAGCAGAGGUAACUCUGUGGGUGGCGAGUGGCGAACGGGUGAGUAAUACAUCGGAACGUACCCUGUUGUGGGGGAUAACUACGCGAAAGCGUAGCUAAUACCGCAUACGCCCUGAGGGGGGAAAGCGGGGGACCCUAAAUAGAGCGCACUGGGGAGUGCGUUGUAUUUAGGGCCUCGCGCAAUAGGAGCGGCCGAUGUCGGAUUAGCUAGUUGGUGAGGUAAAGGCUUACCAAGGCGACGAUCCGUAGCUGGUCUGAGAGGAUGAUCAGCCACACUGGGACUGAGACACGGCCCAGACUCCUACGGGAGGCAGCAGUGGGGAAUUUUGGACAAUGGGGGCAACCCUGAUCCAGCCAUGCCGCGUGAACGAUGAAGGCCUUAGGGUUGUAAAGUUCUUUUACCCGUGACGAUGAUGACGGUAACGGGGGAAUAAGCUCCGGCUAACUUCGUGCCAGCAGCCGCGGUAA
rnacentral:rRNA from 1 species